CGGGACCACUGCUACUGGUAAACAACAAAACUCCCUCUCUCGCUGUUGUUUCAACUUUUCACGGCUUUUUUCAGUAGUAACGAAAUAACCCAUAACAGAGAGAAAGCUCCUACUUCAACAUUUCUGAAGAAAGCUGCUGCCGGAGAAGUAACGUUAGGACACAGAACAAGUCUGUGACUGACUUAAUGAACCCAGUUGGUUUGGAUCAUGCUCAAAGAUGUAAGGGUUACAAAAAGUUAACCAGAACUCUUAUGAACUCCAUCUUGUCUUUCAAAGAGAUGGUAACAUGAACGGAAAAAAAGGGGUUGUUGGUGAAAAAAGAGCCUUGACCUACAAAAGGUGCAGCUAAUAAUUGACUAUGUCAAAAAGAGGCACCCAGGCAUCGGAGGCACUGAGAUCAAGGUCUGCAUGACACAAAAGUUAAGAGAUCUGAGGAGACGAGCAGAAAGAUGACUGUGGUGAAGAUGGAUGAAGAUGGAUGAGGCUUUCAAGUGCAGGAUCUACAAUUGUUUUCGUUUCACCUUUUCGUUUUGCCUGUUUUGAAUGUGAUGC